UUAUUUUUAUGUGUAUUUCAGAAAUAUGCCGAUGUCUACACAAAUAGCAUCCACAUAUUCUUCUUUAUUAAUCCGCAGCCCUAAUGGGAUAUGUGAGCAGGAGAGCACCUCCCUGGAGUUACCCUAGCCCUGUAAUGGAUCAAGGACUGACGCCGAUUAUCACCUUCAGAUCUGCAGAUUGAAGCUGUUUGUGGCGCGUUGCUUGAUUCUUGGUGACGACGGGAUGAUCGUAAUUUGCAAGUGAGCUUUGUUCCGUUUAUGGACAAUCGCGACCGACUCCGAGACUCGUCAUCAACGUGGAUCAUCGUAUUGUUGGUAUUAUUUCGUUUGUGUUAGUGUUAGUUAACCCGUUGGCUGCCACGCCUUUGUUCUCCCCUAGCUCCUUA